UACGUAGGGUCCGAGCGUUGUCCGGAAUUAUUGGGCGUAAAGGGCUCGUAGGCGGUUCGUCACGUCGGGAGUGAAAACUCGGAGCUUAACUCCGAGCCUGCUUCCGAUACGGGCAGACUAGAGGUAGGCAGGGGAGAGCGGAACUCCUGGUGUAGCGGUGAAAUGCGCAGAUAUCAGGAAGAACACCCGUGGCUAAGGCGGCUCUCUAGUACGGUACUGACGCUGAGACGCGAAAGCGUGGGGAGCGAACAGG
rnacentral:rRNA from 1 species